rnacentral:lncRNA from 1 species
GGGAAGCAGUCCAAAUUAGCACAAGCAAUACAGCAGGAAUCAAGUUUAUCAAAACUCAGGAAAAUGGAUCAUCAAGGGAAGGCUAAACUUGGGAGACAAAGUCAAAGCUCAGUCUUCCUUUCCCUUGAACACUCUGUCCUCCAUCUUAAUUUUAUGUUUAGUGUUUAGUGUUAAUGGUCAACUUGGCAGGAUCUAGAAUUGCCUAGAAAACUCAGCCAUGCCUAAAUGGGAUUAUGCUGAGUAACUGACUUGGGAAUACCCAUAUCAAAUUUUUUGUGGUACCAUUAAUUAGGUAGGGGCUUCUGGACUGUGCAAAAUGGAUUAAUAGUUUUGAGCACCGGCAGGCAUCCAUUGUUGAUGUAGUGUGAUCAACUGCUUCAAGCUCCUGCUGCCUAGACUCUCUCAUCAUGAUGGACUGACUGCAGUGUGAAGUGAAAGCAAUAUUAAAUAGUUUCUCUAUUAAGAUGUUGUGUUAGGAUAUUUUAUAGCAACAGGAAAACAAAUUAAGAUAUGGUUCUUGGUUUUAUUUCAAUGAGGAAAGUGAUUCCUUUGGGAAGCAAGACUUGGCUAACAGUGUGACAGUCAAAAGGUCAAUAUUGUCUAACACAGUCAUGAAACUGACCUCAACUGAGAGUUGGGUAAAGAUUAUUUUAAGAGGGAGGCAAGCCUUUGAGCUAUAUAAGUACAACAAAUGAUAUUUUAUUGUACUAUUCACUGAAUCAGUUGAUUAUAUUGUUUAAGGGAAACUGUUAUCUGGAAGCUCUAGAAUUAUAGAUAGAUAGGUAGAUAGAUAGAUAGAUAGAUAGAUAGAUAGAUAGAUAGAUAGAUAGAUAGAUAGAUAGAUAGAUAGGUAGGUAGGUAGGUAGGUAGGUAGGUAGAUAGAUAGAUAGAUAGAUAGAUAGAUAGAUAGAUAGAUAGAUAGAUAGAUAGAUGGAUAGACAGACCACAGGAGAGCUAGCUCUACAGGUGAAUUUCCUUCUGGCACUCACUCCUAACUGGGUGAGUUAUAAGGUCAUCUGCUGAACCUAAAAUAAGGAACAGAUACUCAGC